AUUAGGACAAAAUGCAGAUUUGUCUACCUCUGUUAGUGAUAGUCAGUAUUCUGUAUGCAGUGUACGGAUGUGAUCCCCUCAUACAGAGUGACCAAUCGUUGUAUUGCGAUGCACAGUUUGUAUUUGUUGGAAUUGUUAAAUACGUAAUGGUGACAAGAGAUGAAGCGAUAGUUCGAAUUAGAGUGACGUCAAAUUUGAAAUAAGCAAGUACAGUACGCCAAACAGAAUGAUGCUAGGUACUUAUUAUGAGCCAACAACAGCUAAUCUGAAUAGAUUUAAGAAAUAUGACUGCUCCUGCAAGGUCGAGGUUAAUAUUCCGGAACAGCCUUUCUUUGGAGAACCUGCUCCCAUUGGAGACAAAUGCCUGAUCACUGAGCGUGAAUACAACUCAGUCAUUUUGACGAGGGCUACUGCGCCCGACGACAAUCCAACAGUUAUUGACCGAGGUCACCUUGUCUAUGGGUUGCUCCUACUACACCGUGUCCUCAAUAAUCAGACCGAUAAUAUCAGACUCGUAGAAUAUUAUUUCACACGAAUUAAAAGGA